rnacentral:rRNA from 1 species
AACGGCCGCGGUACCCUAACCGCGCGAAGGUAGCAUAAUCACUUGUUCUUUAAAUGGGGACUUGUAUCAACGGCAUCACGAGGGUUUUACUGUCUCCUUUCCCUAAUCAGUGAAACUAAUCUCCCCGUGAAGAAGCGGGGAUAAACCUAUAAGACGAGAAGACCCCAUGGAGCUUUAAACAAAGCUACAAUCCAAUUUCUAUAUACCCACUUAUUAGACGGAUUCUGUAUGCCUAGUUUUAGGUUGGGGUGACCGCGGAGUAAAACUUAACCUCCACGACAAACGAAACUUUUCUUAUCCAAGAACAACGCUUCUAAGAAUUAGUAUACUAAUGUUAUGAUCCGAUAAUCGAUCAACGGACCAAGUUACCCUGGGGAUAACAGCGCAAUCCAUUUCAAGAGCCCUUAUCGACAAAUGGGUUUACGACCUCGAUGUUGGAUCAGGAUAUCCUAGUGGUGCAGCAGCUACUAAAGGUUCGUUUGUUCAACGAUUAAAAUCCU